rnacentral:sRNA from 1 species
AUUAACCCAAAAUCACACACAUAUCAGCAACUAAUCAUCGGGGUGCUAUUGAAAAAUGGUCGGUGAAUUAGGAUAUGUGGAGGCUAAACC